rfam:Oryza glumipatula chromosome 1, whole genome shotgun sequence.
GGGUACUUCGUCUAUAAGUUUCCGUGCCAAACUUUAAUCGUCCGUCUUAUUUGAAAUAUUUUUAUAAUUAGUAUUUUUAUUGUUAUGAGAUGAUAAAACAUGAAUAGUACUUAUGCUUGACUUAUUUUUUAUUUUUUAAAAAAAAAUUAAAUAAGAUGGACGAUCAAAGUUGGGCACAGAAAAUCAUGGUUGCACUUAAA